rnacentral:rRNA from 1 species
CCUACGGGAGGCAGCAGUGGGGAAUUUUGGACAAUGGGCGCAAGCCUGAUCCAGCAAUGCCGCGUGAGUGAAGAAGGCCUUCGGGUUGUAAAGCUCUUUUGUCAGGGAAGAAACGGCCUGUUCUAAUACAGUGGGCUAAUGACGGUACCUGAAGAAUAAGCACCGGCUAACUACGUGCCAGCAGCCGCGGUAAUACGUAGGGUGCAAGCGUUAAUCGGAAUUACUGGGCGUAAAGCGUGCGCAGGCGGUUUUGUAAGUCUGUCGUGAAAUCCCCGGGCUCAACCUGGGAAUGGCGAUGGAGACUGCAAGGCUAGAGUUUGGCAGAGGGGGGUAGAAUUCCACGUGUAGCAGUGAAAUGCGUAGAUAUGUGGAGGAACACCGAUGGCGAAGGCAGCCCCCUGGGUCAAAACUGACGCUCAUGCACGAAAGCGUGGGGAGCAAACAGGAUUAGAUACCCUGGUAGUCCACGCCCUAAACGAUGUCUACUAGUUGUCGGGUCUUAAUUGACUUGGUAACGCAGCUACGCGUGAGUAGACCGCCGUCGGGAGGUACGGUCGGCGAAGAAGUUAAACUAACAAAUAGAAGUAGACGGCGUGAGACGUAGACCGAACGGACGACGACGAGGGAGGAGG